UACGAAGGGGCUAGCGUUGUUCGGAAUCACUGGGCGUAAAGGGCGCGUAGGCGGCCGAUCAAGUCGGGGGUGAAAGCCUGUGGCUUAACCACAGAAUGGCCUUCGAUACUGUUUGGCUUGAGACCGGAAGAGGUUAGUGGAACUGCGAGUGUAGAGGUGAAAUUCGUAGAUAUUCGCAAGAACACCAGUGGCGAAGGCGGCUGACUGGUCCGGUUCUGACGCUGAGGCGCGAAAGCGUGGGGAGCAAACAGG
rnacentral:rRNA from 1 species